rfam:Triticum aestivum genome assembly, contig: Triticum_aestivum_CS42_TGACv1_scaffold_592961_7BS
CAUAUACUCCCUCCAUCCGGAAAUACUUGUCAUCAAAAUGAAUAAAAGGGGAUGUAUUUUAGUUCUAGAUACAUCCCUUUUUGUCUAUUUGAUGACAAGUAUUUUCGGACGAAAUGAGUAUGUA